rnacentral:rRNA from 1 species
GACGAACGCUGGCGGCGUGCUUAACACAUGCAAGUCGAACGGAAAGGCCCUGCUUUUGUGGGGUGCUCGAGUGGCGAACGGGUGAGUAACACGUGAGUAACCUGCCCUGGACUUUGGGAUAACGUCAGGAAACUGGGGCUAAUACCGGAUAGGAGCUCCUGCUGCAUGGUGGGGGUUGGAAAGUUUCGGCGGUUGGGGAUGGACUCGCGGCUUAUCAGCUUGUUGGUGGGGUAGUGGCUUACCAAGGCUUUGACGGGUAGCCGGCCUGAGAGGGUGACCGGCCACAUUGGGACUGCGAUACGGCCCAGACUCCUACGGGAGGCAGCAGUGGGGAAUAUUGCACAGUGGGCGGAAGCCUGAUGCAGCAACGCCGCGUGCGGGAUGACGGCCUUCGGGUUGUAAACCGCUUUCGCCUGUGACGAAGCGUGAGUGACGGUAAUGGGUGAAGAAGCACCGGCUAACUACGUG